rnacentral:rRNA from 1 species
UACGUAGGGGGCAAGCGUUGUCCGGAAUCAUUGGGCGUAAAGAGCGCGUAGGCGGCCCGAUAAGUCCGCUGUGAAAGUCAAGGGCUCAACCCUUGAAUGCCGGUGGAUACUGUCGGGCUAGGGUCCGGAAGAGGCGAGUGGAAUUCCUGGUGUAGCGGUGAAAUGCGCAGAUAUCAGGAAGAACACCCGUGGCGAAGGCGGUUCUCUGGGACGGUACUGACGCUGAGACGCGAAAGCGUGGGGAGCGAACAGG